GGUCAAGUGAAGAAGCGCAUACGGUGGAUGCCUUGGCAGUCAGAGGCGAUGAAAGACGUGGUAGCCUGCGAAAAGCUUCGGGGAGUCGGCAAACAGACUGUGAUCCGGAGAUGUCUGAAUGGGGGAACCCAGCCAUCAUAAGAUGGUUAUCUUGUACUGAAUACAUAGGUGCAAGAGGCGAACCAGGGGAACUGAAACAUCUAAGUACCCUGAGGAAAAGAAAUCAACCGAGAUUCCCUUAGUAGUGGCGAGCGAACGGGGACCAGCCCUUAAGUUGUAUUGAGAUUAGCGGAACACUCUGGAAAGGGUGGCCAUAGUGGGUGAUAGCCCUGUACGCGAAAAUCCCUUUGCAAUGAAAUCGAGUAGGACGGGGCACGAGAAACCUUGUCUGAAUAUGGGGGGACCAUCCUCCAAGGCUAAAUACUACUGACUGACCGAUAGUGAACCAGUACCGUGAGGGAAAGGCGAAAAGAACCGCGGAGAGCGGAGUGAAAUAGAUCCUGAAACCGUAUGCGUACAAGCAGUGGGAGCCCACUUUGUUGGGUGACUGCGUACCUUUUGUAUAAUGGGUCAGCGACUUAUUUUCAGUGGCGAGCUUAACCGAAUAGGGGAGGCGUAGCGAAAGCGAGUCUUAAUAGGGCGUCUAGUCGCUGGGAAUAGACCCGAAACCGGGCGAUCUAUCCAUGGGCAGGUUGAAGGUUGGGUAACACUAACUGGAGGACCGAACCGACUACCGUUGAAAAGUUAGCGGAUGACCUGUGGAUCGGAGUGAAAGGCUAAUCAAGCUCGGAGAUAGCUGGUUCUCCUCGAAAGCUAUUUAGGUAGCGCCUCAUGUAUCACUGUAGGGGGUAGAGCACUGUUUCGGCUAGGGGGUCAUCCCGACUUACCAAACCGAUGCAAACUCCGAAUACCUACAAGUGCCGAGCAUGGGAGACACACGGCGGGUGCUAACGUCCGUCGUGAAAAGGGAAACAACCCAGACCGUCAGCUAAGGUCCCAAAGUCAUGGUUAAGUGGGAAACGAUGUGGGAAGGCUUAGACAGCUAGGAGGUUGGCUUAGAAGCAGCCACCCUUUAAAGAAAGCGUAAUAGCUCACUAGUCGAGUCGGCCUGCGCGGAAGAUGUAACGGGGCUCAAACCAUGCACCGAAGCUACGGGUAUCAUCUUAGGAUGAUGCGGUAGAGGAGCGUUCUGUAAGCCUGUGAAGGUGAGUUGAGAAGCUUGCUGGAGGUAUCAGAAGUGCGAAUGCUGACAUGAGUAACGACAAUGGGUGUGAAAAACACCCACGCCGAAAGACCAAGGUUUCCUGCGCAACGUUAAUCGACGCAGGGUUAGUCGGUCCCUAAGGCGAGGCUGAAAAGCGUAGUCGAUGGAAAACAGGUUAAUAUUCCUGUACUUCUGGUUAUUGCGAUGGAGGGACGGAGAAGGCUAGGCCAGCCUGGCGUUGGUUGUCCAGGUUUAAGGUGGUAGGCUGAGAUCUUAGGUAAAUCCGGGAUCUUAAGGCCGAGAGCUGAUGACGAGUGUUCUUUUAGAACACGAAGUGGUUGAUGCCAUGCUUCCAAGAAAAGCUUCUAAGCUUCAGGUAACCAGGAACCGUACCCCAAACCGACACAGGUGGUUGGGUAGAGAAUACCAAGGCGCUUGAGAGAACUCGGGUGAAGGAACUAGGCAAAAUGGCACCGUAACUUCGGGAGAAGGUGCGCCGGUGGAGGUGAAGCAUUUACUGCGUAAGCCCCUGCCGGUCGAAGAUACCAGGCCGCUGCGACUGUUUAUUAAAAACACAGCACUCUGCAAACACGAAAGUGGACGUAUAGGGUGUGACGCCUGCCCGGUGCCGGAAGGUUAAUUGAUGGGGUUAGCGCAAGCGAAGCUCUUGAUCGAAGCCCCGGUAAACGGCGGCCGUAACUAUAACGGUCCUAAGGUAGCGAAAUUCCUUGUCGGGUAAGUUCCGACCUGCACGAAUGGCGUAACGAUGGCGGCGCUGUCUCCACCCGAGACUCAGUGAAAUUGAAAUCGCUGUGAAGAUGCAGUGUAUCCGCGGCUAGACGGAAAGACCCCGUGAACCUUUACUAUAGCUUUGCACUGGACUUUGAAUUUGCUUGUGUAGGAUAGGUGGGAGGCUUUGAAGCGUGGACGCCAGUCUGCGUGGAGCCAACCUUGAAAUACCACCCUGGCAACUUUGAGGUUCUAACUCAGGUCCGUUAUCCGGAUCGAGGACAGUGUAUGGUGGGUAGUUUGACUGGGGCGGUCUCCUCCUAAAGAGUAACGGAGGAGUACGAAGGUGCGCUCAGACCGGUCGGAAAUCGGUCGUAGAGUAUAAAGGCAAAAGCGCGCUUGACUGCGAGACAGACACGUCGAGCAGGUACGAAAGUAGGUCUUAGUGAUCCGGUGGUUCUGUAUGGAAGGGCCAUCGCUCAACGGAUAAAAGGUACUCCGGGGAUAACAGGCUGAUACCGCCCAAGAGUUCAUAUCGACGGCGGUGUUUGGCACCUCGAUGUCGGCUCAUCACAUCCUGGGGCUGAAGCCGGUCCCAAGGGUAUGGCUGUUCGCCAUUUAAAGUGGUACGCGAGCUGGGUUUAGAACGUCGUGAGACAGUUCGGUCCCUAUCUGCCGUGGACGUUUGAGAUUUGAGAGGGGCUGCUCCUAGUACGAGAGGACCGGAGUGGACGAACCUCUGGUGUUCCGGUUGUCACGCCAGUGGCAUUGCCGGGUAGCUAUGUUCGGAAAAGAUAACCGCUGAAAGCAUCUAAGCGGGAAACUUGCCUCAAGAUGAGAUCUCACUGGAACCUUGAGUUCCCUGAAGGGCCGUCGAAGACUACGACGUUGAUAGGUUGGGUGUGUAAGCGCUGUGAGGCGUUGAGCUAACCAAUACUAAUUGCCCGUGAGGCUUGACCAUAUAACACCC
rnacentral:rRNA from 1 species